UUGUGGAUGCAAGAAAUCUUUUUCUUCACUCGGAAUAUGCAAUCACGUCUUGUCGAAAUCAAUCACUCAAGGGGAACAAUAGCCGUUACCAAGUGGCGUCAUAUUGUCACGUGACUGUGCUGGUUCCUAAGAGAAUUUCUUCGGCGCUGAACAACGAUUCUUGUUUGGCUCUCAACUUGCUUUGUAAACUACAUUGAUUGCGGCCGAUGUUUGGGUUGAAAUCGCCGUACUCGGCAGAUGACGGACAAUGAGUGCUAAUAAACUCAAUAGACGUCAUCACGAAAAGCUACUACAAUACAACAGCCUCAUCUAGAUGCUGAAGAAACGGAAGGCAAUGGAAUCAGUCGCCUAAAUGUCACAGACCCAAACUUUACAGAAAGGUGUAGUGGCGUAGAUACAGAACAUCCCAAAGUAGCCCAUGCGUCGUAUCUGAUUAAAUCAGAGAAUUCCAAAAAGUAUACAACCACGCCUGAGAUCCCGAAGAAUUCGAAAAUCCAUCCAUGGAAGAUGUAGGACUAACCAAAGCUGUUUCUAAGUAUCGCUCGGACAUAAUAAUACUAAUAUUUAUAACAAUAAUACUGAUUAAGGGACCGUUCUUUGACGAAACGUUCUAAAGAGCCCAGCUUCGUCUAAAUAAAUUUGUCCGUUUCUAAAGUAAAAACAAAGAUUUUCUUGUAAAAUCUGUGUAUUUGAAUUUUCUGCUGUUAUAAUUGAAUAACCAGUCCCAAAAAAGCACAUUAUGUUAUACUGUAGUGUCUUAGCAUGUUUUCAAUUUGACAAGUUUGUGGAAGUUCAUGUUUUGACACAGAGUCUAGUCGAAUAUUGUCUUGCUUACCAGCCACCAGUUCUGAUAAAAGUAUACUGGGGAGAAUAAAUAAUAAGGACGGGAUGCAAUAUCGCAUCAGAAUGCAUUACUUCAUAAACAGUCUGUCUUUUCGGUUAUCGAACUAAUGUCUUCUGCGAGCAGUUGCAAAGACCCUUUAACCGCUACACCAGAGUCGUUGGUCCUCGAGUCCAUUGACUUUGGGAUUUAUAGCAGUAAACAGGGUAUCGGAGGAGGGAUUUGUGGUCCACCUUUGUAGCAACCAGAUCUAUGUGUUGUUGGUUUCUAAAAGGAAAAGUUGGUAUACUGCAAGGAGAAAGAAAAGAUUCUAAAACAUCUCUCUCUGUAUGUCUUUUUCCUUCUCACUAUCUCAUUCACUCUGUCUGUCUGUCUGUCUGUCUGUCUGUCUGUCUGUCUGUCUGUCUGUCUGUCUGAAAUAAAGAGACAUUUGAGUUAGAUAUAAACCCCCAAAAAAAGAGAAAUAGAAAAAAGAGACAGUAACAAAUGAAGAAUGAGACAAAUAGAGAUUGGAAGACAGUGUGUGUGUAUGUGACUGUGAGAAAGAGAGAGGGAGAGAGA